CCUACGGGGCGCAGCAGUGGGGAAUAUUGCACAAUGGGGGGAACCCUGAUGCAGCGACGCCGCGUGGGCGAGGAAGUAUUUCGGUAUGUAAAGCCCUAUCGGCAGGGAAGAAGAAAUGACGGUACCUGAAUAAGAAGCACCGGCUAAAUACGUGCCAGCAGCCGCGGUAAUACGUAUGGUGCAAGCGUUAUCCGGAUUUACUGGGCGUAAAGGGAGCGCAGGCGGCGCGCCAAGUCUGAUGUGAAACCCCGGGGCUCAACCCCCGGCCUGCGUUGGA
rnacentral:rRNA from 1 species